UCGAAACCUGCGAUAGCAGAAUGACCUGUUAACACGUUAAAACAUCGGGCGAGCAUCAGGUGGCCCAAGGGCCCCUGCUUGCAAACCCAAGGUAGGUGGCCCCUCACGGGUGUCCAUCGGCCAACGAAAUCAACUGGGCGCUGACUGCGCCAAGGAAAUUAAUACAGAAUUGUUCGUCAGCUUCUCGUUCGCGGGCAGCGACGUCAGUCUGAAACAC
rnacentral:rRNA from 1 species